GAGGCUCAGCCAGCCAGAGUUUUGUGCUGCUUUUACCCACAGAACACAGGCAGCUUUAAAAAAAAGUUUCAAAACAACAUCAUAAAAGCAGAAAACUGACAAUAACAUUCACAGUUAAGACUACCAGAUAGGCUUGUUUACAUGCAGUGAACAAAUCAAAGCUACAUUCUCCAGAUAGGUUUCAAGAACCGCCAGCAUAAGAGAUGUACCACGUCGGACUACGAAAACAACCCAAAAUAUUCAAGCAUCAUUCACCCACACCUACAUAUUAAGAGACCCAAGCAGCAGAGGUAUUCCUCGAGUGUAUUUGGGUAAACAAAGAGACAAACAUUGAGCUAAAGACCCUGACUAACAAUGCCUUUUGAUUAAUACGUCAAGGAUGCACAGCCCCCCCCCCCCCAAACACACUUUCUGUGGUCCCAUCUGAAGACAGGCCAGAGGGCAGGAGGAUUGGGGCGCAGGGUCAUCCCAAAGCCAGCUGGCAGGGAGGGGAGGGGUGGGGAGUGCCCCUAAAACCACACACCCUCCCCUUAAUUGAAUAUGCAGUAGUUCACUCCAUGUUUAACGCUAUGCUUUUGUUUUGGCAGCAACCUCUGUGGAAAAGCAUCUUUCACAAAAAAAAAGAAAAGAAAAAAUGAUAACGCACACAAAACCAUCUCCCUAACUGGCCGAGCCUCGACUGAGGUCUGUAAAACUGUAAAAGUUUAUGUAAACAAUGAGAUAAAUACAUAUGUUUCUUUUUAGAGCCACACAUGGUUCCAUAAUCAUUCAAAUGUGCUUUGGUUUAAAAAAUAGUUUGUGGAUUUGGGUAUGAGCUUUUUUUUUUCUCUCCUUUUCUUCUUAGUUCUUUGUACAACGUUGCAACUAUUUCUGAACAUAGUGUGUUACUAACUAAAACGUAGACUUGUUUUGAGCUGCCUCACCUUUGUCAAGGCUUUUUGUGUUAGUUGAAAAAAAGUAGCCCCCUGUUUGUCUUAAAUAUGAAACUAGUGUUUUGCUUUUCCCAUGAUCAAAAUACAGAGAAAUUGAUACAAUGCUAUAUUUUACAAAUGUAGCUGAGAGUCUGCAUUCACAGAUGCAGAACAAUCCCUGAAGUAUUUGAAUAGUAGUAGUAAUAGUAGUAAUAAUAGUAGUAAUAGUAGCAUGGUCACAGUUUGGAGUUCGUAGUAUGUUUUUUUUUUCCUUUUUUUUUUUCUUCGUUACGUCGAACAAGCAAGCAUUCAAAUGCAGCUGCAAAAACCUUUGCAGAGAUGGCUAGAGAUCGUGUAGUACAAAACACCUUUUGCAUUACAGACAUUACACUGUACUGCAGUAAGGGCUGCGAGUACAACAACGUUUGAAGGCAAUGCAUUGUGGACUCCCUCUUCGGCUAGAAGAGGUCACAAGCAACAAUGUAUCAGGCGAUAAAUAACACGUUUGUGGAUCUAGGAAUGGGUGGGUGGGGAUCGAGGAGUGUGAAAAAUUCAGAUGUACCAUGCAAUCACUAAACAGCAACUGCCUAACAACAAGACACCAACAUCCAACAUAAGUAACAAGUCUGGGAGCCCAAGACGCAGGUACCUUAAAACGGUAGUGAUGUUUGUGUAACUGUAGC
ensembl:lncRNA